rnacentral:lncRNA from 1 species
CUUGAAUAGCAUGCAAGCACUGUUAGAAAUUCUGUUGGUUUUCUUUUUAAAUGGGUGUUUAGAUGGAUUGCCAUUUUAUGUUAUUGACCCUUAAUCUUAUGUCGAGUCUGGGUGUUAAACUAUUUUAAAUGAUGAAAAUCUUUUUCUCCAUAGAACUUUCUAUUACCAAUAUUUACACCUUUCAAAAUAAAAUUUAACUUUUAGGAAAUGUAUUCCAAUUAUUGUGCCUGUUGCUGUUGUGAUUCCUUUAUGAGUCCCCAUGAGUUGGUUGUCGAAACAUGAUGAUUGGAGACAAAGGAGUGGUAAAAAAAAUUGCAUGGAUAAGCUAUUGAAUACAUGAAUAUGUACAUAUAUAUCCCUACAGAGAAGAGGACACAACCCAAUAAGAAGAGUUGUUUUAAUCCUCUAAUGUACCUACCACCUGCAUCAUAGAGCAUGUAGUACAAUUAAUAAAAACAUAAUUCUCAAUCAUGAAGGACAAAU